rnacentral:tRNA from 1 species
AGGUUUAUAGUUUAGUGGAUAAAAUAUAUGUUUCCGAAACAUAAGACCAUGGGUUCGAGUCCCGUUAAACCUA